GGGUGCGAUCAUACCAGCGUUAAUGCACCGUAUCCCAUCAGAACUCCGCAGUUAAGCGCACUUGGGCUAGAGUAGUACUGGGAUGGGUGACCUCCCGGGAAGUCCUAGUGUUGCACCCU
rnacentral:rRNA from 1 species